CUGAGGGGGGCAUGCCAACAAAGGUUACUUAAACCAAAAACUGUUUUAUUCAAACUAUAUUUUUUGUUUUUGUUUUAGUAAUCCUUCAAAGGAACACUAUAAUGUCAAGAAUACACAUAUGUAUUCCUGACACUAUAGUCCUGGUAUGGCUGUUUUGGUCCCCAGCCCCAGAGUUUACUCGCCUUUUUCUCAACUUGAUGGUCUCAGCCAGUCCAAUGCUUGGCAGGCUAUUGCGCUGGCGCUGCAAAACACUGUGCUGGGCCAAGCAGCAUGUACUCAUAGUGACGCAUUGAAUCAAUGCAUCUCUAUUGGGAAUGUUCAGCCACUAAAUGCAGUGACUGCCACUUGAGGUGUUCAUAGGCAGCUAUGUAAACACUGCCUUUUCUCUGAAGGAACAAGGACAUGCUAUAGACACCAGAACAACUACAUUAAACUGUAGUGGUUCCGGUGACUAUAGUGUCCCUUUAAUGUUGUUUAGUAUAAAAUGAAAGCCCUAUCCAUCCUUUAUAAACAAGAUAGAGCAGGUACAGGUACACUUAAAGUAAAAGUGUUAAAUAAAGGUGGAACAAAUCAAAAGUGCUUAAAAGCCUUGUUCAUCAAAACACAGAGUCUCAGAAAAGCAAUGGUUAAAGUGUGCAAAAUAUAUGCUCUUUUUGUCUCUGUCUAUUAAAAUGUAUUUACAGGGUGAGGCAAGAUUGGAGUCAUUUUUGAUUUCUAAAUCUUUUUUCUCAUUGCAGCCUGUUGUCAAGGGAAUGCUGGCAUUGCUUUUCAUAAUGACAGUAUCACAGUUUUGUAUCACAAUAUCCACAUCUGUUUUUGGAUGUAAAACUGUGUGCCGGACAUCAUAUAAUGAAACGGUAAGUUAAAUGUAUAAAGAUAUGCUGAAACAAAUUAUUCAGGAGAAAGAAAACAAACAUUUAUUUUCUCUUUUUGUAAGUCUUACAAAUAUGCGUACUAGCAUGUGAUUUUACACAAAUAUAUGUAAAGCCGAAGUGAACCAUGUUAACUAGUGGUAAAAGUUACUAGGUACUCAUUAAAGUCUACUGCAGUGUUACUAGGAUGACUAACGCAGCAGUGGUAAAUUAAAGAAAAUGACCUCCGCUGCCCUUAAACAUUUCUGUGAUUUCGCCAACUAACGAUGCCUUGAACAUGUGCAUGUAUGCUCAGGAAUAUAAACUAAAGAAUUUUAAAAUAAUAAAAGUACAACUAGUAGCUACGUUUUAGUGAUUAAAUGACAAAGAGUGAUUAAUUUGCAAAAUAUAUGUAUUAUAAAUAUCUGAAUUGUAGAAUUAUUUAACUAUUUUAGUUCGUAUUUUGCAAUUCAGUUUCAAAAUUACUUUUCUAUUAACCCCUAAUUUUCUGCCCUUGCAUCUCUAAAUAUAACACUGAAUUUAAAAUGUAUUUACAGAGUGGGGAAAGAUUGGAGUUAUUUUAAAAUAAGAAUGCAUUUCCAACAACAAAUACGAAAUAAAUCAUUAAAGGAACACUUCAUGCACAAUAAUAAUAACUAUGGUGAUAUAAGUGAAUUGGUGCACUCCUGUAGUAAGUAGUCAGAUUGUUUAAGACUUAUUUUACAAGUUUCCUGGGUCAUCAUCGAGCACCUGACGCCACUUCUCCUGCUGCUGGAAGCUUCUGCCCGUGACCUAAGCUCAACCAUGCAAGGCCACACUCAUUGGCUGACAGCACUGAGCUGAUGCAUUCAGCUAAUGAGGGGCCACGCUGAUUGGCUGACAGCACUGAGAUGAUGCAUUCAGCUAACGAGGGGCCACACAUAUUGGCUGAUAGCACUGAGCUGAUGCAUUCAGAUAAUGAGGGUCACACUCAUUGGCUGACAGCGUUAAGCGUAUGAGCAUGGCUGUGCAAAAAAGCAUGGCUGUGCAAAAAAGAGCUUAGCUCAAAGGAGCUAAGAGCACCUGAGAGGCUGUGAUGGGCACCCAUUAAAGUCCUGGGUAAGUUGUCAAACUGCUCUUAUACUGAUUGACUACAUACUCUGGUAGGGUACCAUAAUCAGUACAGCAGGCCAUAGUGGUAAUGGUGGUUGAAGUUUUCCUUUUAAAGGGAGGUCAUUUAAAUGUGUAUUUGUAGUAUUUGUCAAACAGAAUUAAAGUGAUAGUGUCAACAUUUUUUUCUAAUUAAAUUUGUGGUCUUGAUUAAGGUUGUAAUGUCAUUCUUUUGGUCCCUGAAACAUUCGUUUAGUAGUCUGUCUUUAACAGGUCUUGUGCCAUUACAGAUAGACCAGAUUUGUUCACUAAUCAGUAAGUCAAAAAUCAAAUUGCAAAACUCUAGCUAAAAUAUCCAAGCCAUGACUAUAGCUGAGAUAAAUAUGCCUUUAUUUAUAUCUUUAUUUUAAAUACACUUUGAAUGCCUAAUAAUUCACACUUAAUAAACUUGUUACUGUUACCUACCUGGUACCUUGAACCCUUGCAAGGUACAAAGAGGCUAGGAGCUUCUUUAAAAUUCAGAGGUUAGUGUGCUUUAGCCCUUCCAUCAAGGUACAAGUGGGGUUAGUCUACAGCUAUAGCAUAGCACAGUGAUUCUCAAAACUAAUCUAGAUCAGUGAUAUACUAAUCUGGGGGCAAGGGGCAAUCUGCUCUGUAUGACUAAUGGGAGGGAGGACACAGAGAUUGGUUGCGACGUAGACUUGCGGACAUCAGUGUAGAGAGUCUUCUUUAUCCUCUACCUAAUCUAAGAAAGUUGGAGGUGGUAGAGAUAUGAUGCUAACAGCACGAACAAGCAACCUCUAUCAAACCAGAUAGAUGAUGAAGAAAUUCCUCUACUACAGUCUGCAAGGCCACUCUACAGUACUGUAAAGGGUGAGUAAGAUAUAUAGAAAAUAUGAGAAUAAGAAACACAAAGGAGAUAAUAAACAGAAAAGCAGAAUAGGAAUAAGGGGGUGAGGUACACAAAAGGGGAAUAAAAGGGACAAAGGGGGGAUAGGAGAUACAGAAGAGUAAUAGGGGUAAGAGAUCAAAGGUGCAGGAGGGUAAAGAGAUACACAUGGGUGGAGAGAUGUGUGCUGAGUAACACAAAAACUUACAGUUCGGAGGUGGUACCAAAACACAAAGUGUCAGCUGAAACUGACAUUGAUAAAGCUGAAUUUAAAAAUUUCACAUUAUCAAUGCAGCCAACAAUGAGGAGGUCUCUGUGUGCCAGGGAGAAGCCUGGAUAUUUGUAAAAAAAAAAAAAAAAAUGCUCCCAUGUAAUUUGACAAUGAACCACCAAAUUGUUGCCUACAUAUCCAUUGCAUUGAGAUACAGUGAUUAUGCUGUUUAGAAAGUCCCUUUAAAUAUGAAUUAUUUCAGUAGAUUCAAAAUGUUAAUAUAUUUACAUAAAUCAUUCUGGCAGAAUGUUGAAAAUGUUAGUUGAUUUUAUAUAAUUAUUAAUUGCUUUAGAAUAUUCAAAAUGUUAAUGCUUUUAAAUAAUAAAUUAUAUACUAUGUUGUACUAACACAGAAUUUCAUUUAUAUUUUAUUUUAGACAGUAAUAAUUUAUCAAGCCUCCUCGGUGAUAAACUCUGGAAAUAACAUGACUGCUGAUCCUACUACCAUAACCACAGAUGAAUAAUGUAUUGAUAUUAAAGAAUAUCUUCUAGGGAAGAUAUGACAUUACCUUUUCAUCACUACUUUUCAGAUGCCUAAGUAGUUUUGAGAAAUUUUCUAUUUGUUUUUUUGCAGACUAGCAGCUCCUCUGCUGCCAGUCUGCAGUUUCCACUUCAGCUUAGACCAUUUUCUAUUUUUGAACUAAUCAAAGCAAACUAAUGCUUCUCCAUGAGAAUCAUUAUUAUAGCACUAUCGAAGGUAGUAUAUUACUGCUCUACAGCUGUGCAACUCAUAUAGCCCCGUACACAAACACCUUCUGCAAACUAGAUUACUUCCUGAGAUGCGAGGCCUCAUUUUGAUUCUUCAUAAAAGCAACUUUUUCAUUAACAUCAAACAAAAUAUUAGUUUUCUUUUCUUGACAUAGGUAUCUUUGGUGCUUGUUAUAUAACUGGACUAUAUCACUCCCUCUAGAAUGUAAGCUUAUUGAGCACGGCCCUCCACCUCUCUGUUCCUCUACGUCCAGUUGUUUGGUUAUAAUUACAUGUCUGUUAGUCCACCCAUUGUACAGCACUACGGAAUCUGAUGGCGCUAUAUAAAUAAUAAUAAUAUACAUUGCACUACUACCAUGCUGCAAAGGGUUAAAGGAACACUAUAGUUUUAGGAGUAGAAAACUGUAUUUUUAACACUAUAGUGUCCUUCUGCUGCUGUCCCCUUACCCCACUGGCAAAAAGGGUUUAAAAACAUGAUUACCUGGUCGGGCUGCUCCACUACCCAUGUCAUGCCGAUCAUGCAGUGCCUUAGGUUUUCCCAUAGGAAAUCAAUGCUUUUCAAUGGGUUUUUUCAAGAGGCUGGACGUAAUCAUACAAGGAGUGACAUCCAGCGUUGUUUCAUGGAGUUAAACUGCAGGAAGCGUCACUAAUGACUGUCUGGAAGACAGCCACUAGAGGCAGUCUUAACCAUGCAAUAUAAACAUUGCAUUUUCUCUAAAUAUGCAGGGUUUUUACAUUGCAGGGUUAAGAGGACAGUGACAAUGAAUCCAGGCCACUUCCAUAAGAUGAAGUGGUCUGUGUACCAAUAGUGUCCCUUUAAUACACAGUAAUUAUGGUAGGGCAAACUACAAACAAGAUUAAACAAGUUAACGCUGUCAGGCUCUGCAUUUUAAAGUUUAGUCUUUAAUAACUGUCCCUUCAAUAUGGGGGGAAAAGAGAACUACAUUAGGGUCAUAUCACAAUCACAGAAUUCUCCUCCUCCAUGGCCCUAAACUAGACUACAGAAUGCAACCUAGAGUAUGUAAUACAGAGAGCAGGCACAAUGCAUGGGCGUCCGCAGGAGUUUUUCCAGGGGUGGGGGAUAAUUGUAAUGACAUCCAUGCUUGGUACCUUUUUGACAGUGUAAUGAAAGGGAAGGGGCAUUGCCAUUAUCACAUAAAGCCAGGGUGAAUAGCGUUUUCACAACUAUGGUGUCACUAUAGUGUUCCUUUAAGCAAAUUAAAGGACCAUUCUGGUCACCAUAACAACUUCACCUAAAUGAAAAUGCCAUGAUGCCAGGAAGCCCCUGGGUGCUUGCUUUCCUUUAAGGGAUUAAAUCGCUCACAAAUGGUUUAACCCCAAAGGCUUCCUCCAGCUCCAGGUUGCUCAGUGGUAUUUGGCUUCUGAAACAGGGUGUCAGGAAGUGCAGAUUGACGUCAGGCAUGGGUGCAGCUGGUUGGCUAGAGUGGACAGUUGACGCUCUAAGCCAAUCGCUACUUCCCGGUUCAUAAAAUAUUUUUAAUUUUUUAUGAAUGGGGAGCUACUAAUUGGCUUAGAGUGCCAUCUGACCGCUCUAGACAAUCAGCAACACCCCUACCCAAUGGCACUCUGUGCUUCCUGACACUCAGUAAAUAAAAGUGAACACAUUAAUACUGAUAUUUUUUUACCUUUGGAGAUGAGAAGGUCCAGCGUUUCCCUGCCUGGCCCAGGUACCAAAGCCUUAUGAUGUGGUGUUCAGAAUAAAGUGGAGGGUUCACUUCAUUUGUCCUUCCUACUCCAAUCUCCUUUUCCUCUCCUUCAUUUGACAGUCUUUUUUUUUCUUCUGACACUGUUUUCUAUCCUUGGCCCCUUCUGCUUUUUUACCUUUCUGCUCUUUCUCCUACUUUACCUCUGUGCUCCUUCUGAUUCUUUCUGCUCCUUGCUGCCCCUUUCUGCCCCUUGCAGGCCCUUCCUGCUCCUUGCUGCCCCUUGCAGGCCCUUCCUGCUCAUUCUCCUACUUUACCUUUGUGCUCCUUCUGCCCCUUCCAGCUCAUUUCUGACCCUUUCUGCUCCUUCUACUUUACCUUUGUGCUGCUUUACCUUCCAGCUCCUUGCUGACCCUUCCUGUUCAUUUCUGUUCCUUUGUGCUCCUUCUCCUACUUUACCUUUUGUGCUCCUUGCUGUCCCUUCCACAGCUCCUUGCUGCCCCUUUCUGCUCCUUGAUGUCCCUUCCUGCUCAUUUCUGUUCCUUCUCCUUUUCUUACCUUACCUUCCUGCUCCUUGCUGACUCUUCAUGUAUGCUGUCUCCCCCAUACCUCACUUCUAUAGGCGUGCGCACGGGGUGUGUCGGGUGUGCCCUGGCACACCCUAAUCACUGCGGCACGCCAAUGGAUUGAGACUGGCAGGGGAGACCUCUAGAUCUCCCUGGUCGGCUCAUGCAGAGCCGACGCUAUCCGAGCGGCGGCUCUGGUCUAAGCCUCCAUGGGCCGGUGGGGAGAUCAAAGUUCUACCUCACCGGUCCACAGCAGCAUGGAGGGAGGCAGCAGACAACCCGGGCUAGAGUUCACUCUCCACUAAACCACCAGGGAAGGCAGCAGGACUGGGAUAUUAACUAGUCUGCCCCCACCUCCACCCAAACAUACAGCACACACACAUACAGCACACACAGCCCACACAGCCCACAAACAGCACACACACAUCACCCUCGCACACACAGCACCCACACACAUACAACACCCACACACACAUCCAGCACACUAACAGCAUCCUCACAAACAGACAAAACCCACACACAACACCCGCACAGCACCCACACACAAACAGCACACUCUCAUACAAACAGCACCCUGACAAACACACAACACCCACACACACAUCCAGCACACUAACAGCAUCCUCACAAACACACAAAACCCACACACAACACCCGAACAAACAUGCACACACAAACACCCUCUCACACACACACACAGCACACUACCAGUUCCCUCACAAACAGCACCCUCACACACAGCACACUAACAGCACCCUCACACACACACACAGCAGUGUGUGUAUACAUAUAUAUAUAUAUAUAUAACAGAUAUAGAGAUUAUAUAUAUAUAAAUAUAUAUAUACAUACAUAUACACACACACACACACAUACAUAUACACAUGGCGUGUGUUUGUGCUUUAGGGUGCACACCCUAAUGCAAUAGGCUGCGCACGCCUAUGCUCACUUCCCUAAUCUAUAGGCUGCCCCCCCAUGCCUCACUCCCCUAAUCUAUAGGCUGCUGUCCCCUCCCAAAAUCUAUAGGCUGCUGCCCCCUCCCC